CUAAAAAUAGAUGACCUGAAUUAGCCAAGUCUGAUCUAAUCCAAACAAGCUCACUAUAUUCAAUUUCUUUCUCGUGUUUCUCUUUAAAGAUAGACUUUAGAGGUUUUAUAGCGCUCCACCUUGUAAAAUAAACAACACAUUACAUCUACAAUGUCAUAUCCUUAGGCCAAAGAAAGCACUGUAAUGUUGUUUCUUUUAUCUAGG